AUUGAACGCUGGCGGCAUGCCUUACACAUGCAAGUCGAACGGCAGCACGGGAGCAAUCCUGGUGGCGAGUGGCGAACGGGUGAGUAAUAUAUCGGAACGUGCCCAGUAGUGGGGGAUAGCCCGGCGAAAGCCGGAUUAAUACCGCAUGAGACCUGAGGGUGAAAGCGGGGGACCGCAAGACCUCGCGCUAUUGGAGCGGCCGAUAUCAGAUUAGCUAGUUGGUGGGGUAAAGGCCUACCAAGGCAACGAUCUGUAGUUGGUCUGAGAGGACGACCAGCCACACUGGGACUGAGACACGGCCCAGACUCCUACGGGAGGCAGCAGUGGGGAAUUUUGGACAAUGGGCGCAAGCCUGAUCCAGCAAUGCCGCGUGCAGGAAGAAGGCCUUCGGGUUGUAAACUGCUUUUGUCAGGGAAGAAAUCCCUUGGGAUAAUACCUCGGGGGGAUGACGGUACCUGAAGAAUAAGCACCGGCUAACUACGUGCCAGCCGCCGCGGUAAAAC
rnacentral:rRNA from 1 species